CUCCUUGCACACACCGCCUGCCAAGUCAUCCAAGUGAGGCCUUAGUGACGCAGCAUCGUUAUGGUGCUUUCGAACUAAGGUUUCGUGAGGGGGGCUAAGGCAUAACAAGGUAUCCGUAGGGGAACCUGUGGAUAGAUCACCUCAA
rnacentral:rRNA from 1 species